rnacentral:rRNA from 1 species
GGGCCCGCACAAGCGGUGGAGCAUGUGGUUUAAUUCGAUGAUACGCGAGGAACCUUACCAGGGCUUAAAUGUAACGGGACAGAUCUAGAGAUAGAUCCUUCUUCGGACUCAUUACAAGGUGCUGCAUGGUUGUCGUCAGCUCGUGCCGUGAGGUGUCAGGUUAAGUCCUAUAACGAGCGCAACCCCCAUCGUUAGUUGCCAACGAGUAAUGUCGGGAACUCUAACGAAACUGCCGGUGCAAACCGUGAGGAAGGUGGGGAUGACGUCAAAUCAUCACGGCCCUUACGUCCUGGGCUACACACGUGCUACAAUGGUCGGUACAGAGAGCAGCCACUACGCGAGUAGGAGCGAAUCUUCAAAACCGAUCUCAGUUCGGAUCGCAGUCUGCAACUCGACUGCGUGAAGCUGGAAUCGCUAGUAAUCGG